rnacentral:sRNA from 1 species
AGCCCUGCCCCCACCUCCUCCUUCUUGUGAACUGAGCUGCUUAGAAGGGCAGGAGGAGGAGCUGGAGGGCAGGUAGGGAUGCUCCCUGCUUCCAGGCCCACACACCUGCGGCCAGACCAUGGGCUGCUGGGGAGGAAGGGGAGGGGGCAGCAGGAAGGCCAACGGGAAGGUAUGGAAGCAGCUGAGCCCUUUCCUUCUCUCCUGCCUCUUUGAUCCCAGCUCAGAGCCAGAGGAGUGGUGCCUGCCAAUGCCUGAGAGAAGUCACCUGACGGAACCCAGCUCCAGUGGAGGGUGCCUGGUCACUCCAUCCCGAAGGGAAACCCCCUCUCCCACACCUUCCUAUGGACAGCAGUCCACAGCCACUCUUACACCCUCACCUCCUGACCCUCCCCAGCCCCCAAAUGACAUGCCCCAUCUCCAUCAGAUGCCCAGGAGGGUGCCCCUUGGGCCGAGUUCCCCUCUCAGUGUAUCCCAGCCCAUGCUGGGCAUCCGUGAAGGGAGGCCUGCUGGCUUGGGUGCUGGCCCUGCAGCCUCACCCCACCUCAGCCCCAGUCCUGCCCCUAGCACAGCCAGCAGUGCCCCAGGCAGAACCUGGCAGGGGAAUGGGGAGAUGACUCCCCCACUUCAAGGACCCCGUGCUCGAUUCCGGAAGAAACCCAAGGCUCUUCCCUACAGGAGGGAGAACAGUCCUGGGGACUUGCCCCCACCACCCUUGCCACCGCCAGAGGAAGAGGCGAGCUGGGCCCUAGAGCUGAGGGCAGCAGGCAGCAUGUCCUCCCUGGAGCGGGAGCGCAGUGGGGAGAGGAAAGCGGUCCAGGCCGUGCCCCUGGCCGCCCAGCGGGGGCUCCACCCAGAUGAAGAGGCCUGGCUCCCAUACAGCAGACCAAGCUUCCUGUCCCGGGGCCAGGGCACCAGCACAUGUUCCACGGCCGGCAGCAACUCUUCCAGGGGCUCC